UCAGGGUUUAUCCAAGGGUUUAGGGUUUAGUGAUUAGGGUUUAGGGUUUAGUGUUAUUAAGAUUUAGUUUUUAAUGUAUGAUUUAGGGUUUAAAAUUUUCCAACGGUUUAUCCAAGAUUUAAGGUUUAUAAUUUAGGGUUUAGAGUUUAAGAUUUAGAGUAUAGGAUUUAGUAUUUUGCUAAAGGUUUAACAAUAUUUAUUUAUUUAUUUUUUGUAACUAUUUUUAUGUAUUUUUAUUGUUUUAUUUUAAAAAUAUAAUUUUAUUUGGAAAUUCAAUUUUG
rnacentral:lncRNA from 1 species